rnacentral:rRNA from 1 species
GACGAACGCUGGCGGCGUGCUUAACACAUGCAAGUCGAGCGGUAAGGCCCUUUCGGGGGUACACGAGCGGCGAACGGGUGAGUAACACGUGGGUGACCUGCCCUCAGCUCUGGGAUAAGCCUGGGAAACCGGGUCUAAUACUGGAUAUGACUCCAUGACGCAUGUUGUGGGGUGGAAAGCCUUGUGCGGCUGAGGAUGGGCCCGCGGCCUAUCAGCUUGUUGGUGGGGGUGANGGCCUACCAAGGCGACGACGGGUAGCCGGCCCUGAGAGGGCGACCGGCCACACUGGGACUGAGACACGGCCCAGACUCCUACGGGAGGCAGCAGUGGGGAAUCUUGCGCAAUGGGCGAAAGCCUGACGCAGCGACGCCGCGUGAGGGAUGACGGCCUCGGUUG